rnacentral:rRNA from 1 species
ACGAACGCUGGCGGCGUGCCUAAUACAUGCAAGUUGAGCGAUUAAGAUUGGUGCUUGCACCAAUUUGAAGAGCAGCGAACGGGUGAGUAACGCGUGGGGAAUCUGCCUUUGAGCGGGGGACAACAUUUGGAAACGAAUGCUAAUACCGCAUAACAACUUUAAACAUAAGUUUUAAGUUUGAAAGAUGCAAUUGCAUCACUCAAAGAUGAUCCCGCGUUGUAUUAGCUAGUUGGUGAGGUAAAGGCUCACCAAGGCGAUGAUACAUAGCCGACCUGAGAGGGUGAUCGGCCACAUUGGGACUGAGACACGGCCCAAACUCCUACGGGAGGCAGCAGUAGGGAAUCUUCGGAAAUGGACGAAAGUCUGGCCGAGCAACGCCGCGUGAGUGAAGAAGGGUUUCGGAUCGUAAAACUCUGUUGGUAGAGAAGAACGUUGGUGAGAGUGGAAAGCUCAUCAAGUGACGGUAACUACCCAGAAAGGGACGGCUAACUACGUG